rnacentral:rRNA from 1 species
CCCUUAGACGUUCUGGGCCGCACGCGCGCUACACUGACGAAGGCAACGAGCUUUCCUUUACCGAAAGGUACGGGUAAUCUUUUGAAUCUCCGUCGUGCUGGGGAUAGAUCAUUGCAAUUAUUGAUCUUGAACGAGGAAUUCCUAGUAAGCGCAAGUCAUCAACUUGCGUUGAUUACGUCCCUGCCCUUUGUACACACCGCCCGUCGCUACUGCCAACUGAGAUGGGUCCUGAAUUGUUAGGAACGCCCGUCAAGGGGCCUACCCGGUCCCUAGUGCGGUGACGAGAAUAACUGUAAAUGGCAUAUCUUGUAGGGAGUAAAAGUCGUAACA